UGCCUCUUAGUUCAAUGGUAGAAUGUCGCUCUCUGAAAGCGAAGACAACGGAUCGAUACCGUUAGAGGCUG
rnacentral:tRNA from 1 species